rnacentral:rRNA from 1 species
CCAGGCCAGCAUCGGUUCGCUGUGGGGGAUAAAGGCUUUGGGAAUGUGGCUCCUCCGGGAGUGUUAUAGCCCAUUGUGUAAUACCCUGUGGUGGACUGAGGUUCGCGCAUCUGCAAGGAUGCUGGCGUAAUGGUCAUCAGCGA